AUCCCUUUGUAGUUUAUAAGCACGAUGAUUGAGUGUUCGCACUAUUGUGUGACACGCACCUCCCUCAAACCUUGUUACAAUAUUGGCACAUCACCCAUGUGAAA